AGUGUGGCUCAGUGGUAGAGAGCACUUGCAUAGCAUGCAUGAAGCCUUGGGUUCAAUUCCCAGCACU
rnacentral:tRNA from 1 species